rnacentral:rRNA from 1 species
AGCAGCCGCGGUAAUUCCAGCUCCAAUAGCGUAUAUUAAAGUUGUUGUGGUUAAAAAGCUCGUAGUUGAACCUUGGGCCUGGCUGGCCGGUCCGCCUCACCGCGUGUACUGGUCCGGCCGGGCCUUUCCCUCUGUGGAACCCCAUGCCCUUCACUGGGUGUGGCGGGGAAACAGGACUUUUACUUUGAAAAAAUUAGAGUGCUCCAGGCAGGCCUAUGCUCGAAUACAUUAGCAUGGAAUAAUAGAAUAGGACGUGUGGUUCUAUUUUGUUGGUUUCUAGGACCGCCGUAAUGAUUAAUAGGGACAGUCGGGGGCAUCAGUAUUCAAUUGUCAGAGGUGAAAUUCUUGGAUUUAUUGAAGACUAACUACUGCGAAAGCAUUUGCCAAGGAUGUUUUCAUUAAUCAGGAACGAAAGUUAGGGGAUCGAAGACGAUCAGAUACCGUCGUAGUCUUAACCAUAAACUAUGCCGACUAGGGAUCGGACGAUGUUACUUAU